CCCACACAGAAUACAGAGGAGGUUACCACGAUGGGCACGUUGUGAUUCGUUGUUUCUGGGAUGCGGUGGAGCGCUUCAAUAAUGAACAGAGGUUGCGCCUGCUGCAGUUCGUGACGGGAACGUCCAGUGUCCCCUACGAGGGCUUCGCAGCGCUCCGUGGGAGCAACGGCCUGCGACGCUUCUGCAUUGAAAAGUGGGGAAAGAUUACCUCUCUACCAAGGGCGCACACAUGCUUCAACCGUCUGGAUCUGCCUCCCUAUCCGUCGAACCCUGUGCUGUAUGAGAAACUCCUCACCGCUGUGGAGGAGACCAGCACCUUCGGUCUGGAGUGAAGUGAGACUUCUUUUUUUU